AAUGAACGCUGGCGGCGUGGAUUAGGCAUGCAAGUCGAACGCGAAAGUUCCCUUCGGGGAGCGAGUAGAGUGGCGAAAGGGUGAGUAAUGCUUGGAUGACCUGCCCUCGAGACGGGGACAACAGUUCGAAAGGACUGCUAAUACCCGAUAGUCCGGUUUAGAUGCGUCUAGAUCGGUAAAUGGUGCUUCCGCUCGAGGAGGGGUUCAAGUCCUAUCAGCUUGUUGGUGAGGUAACGGCUCACCAAGGCGACGAUCUGUAGCGGGUCUGAGAGGAUGAUCCGCCACACUGGAACUGAGACACGGUCCAGACUCCUACGGGAGGCAGCAGUGGGGAAUUUUGGACAAUGGGCGCAAGCCUGAUCCAGCCAUGCCGCGUGAGUGAAGAAGGCCUCGGUUGGUAAG
rnacentral:rRNA from 1 species